rnacentral:rRNA from 1 species
GCGGUACUUGACCGUGCAAAGGUAGCAUAAUCAUUUGCCUUAUAAUUGAAGGCUGGAAUGAAUGGUUUGACAAGAAUACAGCUGUCUCUUUUAGAUUGUUUAGAAUUUUAUCUUUGGAUGAAAAAGUCCAAAUAUUAUUAAAAGACAAGAAGACCCUAUCGAGCUUCAGAAAAAUUAAUAGAUUUAGUAUAAAUUAAUAUAAGUAAAAGCAAAGCUAUUAAAUACUUUGGUUGGGGCAACCGGGGAGCAAAUAAAACCUCCUUUAGUUUGUAAGUCUUACUUGUGUUGAUCCAGGAAUUUUGAUUAAAGAAAUUAGUUACCGUAGGGAUAACAGCAUUAUCUUUUUCAAGAGCCCAUAUCGAAAAAAAGGUUUGUGACCUCGAUGUUGGACCAGAAUAUCCUAAAGAUGCAGAAGUCUUUAAGGG